rnacentral:tRNA from 3 species
GAUCCCGUGGUCUAGUUGGUCAUGGCAUCUCGUUAACACCGAGAAGGUCCCCGGUUCAAGCCCGGGCGGGAUCA